rnacentral:rRNA from 1 species
GACAGAGGGGGCAAGCGUUGCUCGGAAUUACUGGGCGUAAAGGGCGCGUAGGCGGGAUGGCAAGUCGGUCGUGAAAUCCCUCGGCUCAACCGAGGAACGUCGAUCGAUACUGCUGUUCUUGAGGAUUGCAGAGGAGACUGGAAUUCCCGGUGUAGCGGUGAAAUGUGUAGAGAUCGGGAGGAACACCGGUGGCGAAGGCGGCUUGCUGGGCCAGUUCUGACGCUGAGGAGCGAAAGCGUGGGGAGCGAACAGG